GACACGGAACGGACACGGAACGGACAGCACAAGGCAGGAGCGGGAGCUGCUGCGGCCAGCCCGUGGGAAAAGCGUCCCGCCGGGACAUCGCACCCUUUACAACCUGAAAUGAGAUGCCAGAACCACGGGCGGGCGAUUUCUGAGGAUCCCCGCACUUGGAGGGCCCGAAUCACGGAAAACUUGUAUUUCGGAGUCGAGGUUUUAAGCGUCGGACGGGGUUGUCUGCAGGAGUGACUGAGAGUCACGCGUUGGCGCGACUUGCUAGAAAUUGCCCAACUUUUAUACUUAAAAACUGUACUUACACUUUGUAAAAAAAUGACUCGGGCACAGUCCAGCCAGAAGAGAUUGCCUGCAAGGGUUAGUGCUCCUGUCCUCCGAAAAGCUGCAAGCAGCCUCUCCAGCAGCAGCCAAGCCACUUUCUGGGCACAGGAAUGUAAGGGAGUCAGGAAGAAAAGCCCUAUCCUUGGCAGCGUUUAAGGCUUGUUCCAGUCGGGACCUCACACAUACUGGGAGAUACAAGAAUGUAGAAAAGC